GAAGAGAAUCAAUAAUGGAAGGCCGUGCACCGCUGAUGAAACCAAAUCUUUUGUUUUCAUUACCCGCUGUUCUGGUUCAUUGGCAACGGGAACUGGGUUAUCACUGCAAAACACUGCAAGGGUAAUGGAGGGCUCAACAGGACAUACGACAUUAACGACAUCAACUCAAAUCCAAUAAUAACCUCGGCGGAAACCUUUCCACACGGGACUGCUGACGUCAUGCUGAUCAAAGUGAACACCAGCAUGGAGGGUAUGCCCUUGGUGUCUGAAGCUGACUGCAAUAAAGUCCUGAAACAAAUAAGCCCCACAAGCCCUGUAGAGAUGGUCGUUCCUGCUAAGGACACGCAGACUAAGAAAACUACUGGGACAGUUGCUUCCAUGUGUGCCGACAUCAACGUGGAGAGAUCAGGCCUUCAUGCUAAAACCAAGGAAAAUUGCGUGUACUGGAGUCCUGGUGCCUGCACCAGCUGUAAGG